CUUGGUCAUUUAGAGGAAGUAAAAGUCGUAACAAGGUCUCCGUUGGUGAACCAGCGGAGGGAUCAUUACUGAGUUUCCGACUCCCAAACCCUUUGAGAACCUUACCUAUUGUUGCUUCGGCGGUGACGUCCCGGCGCCCUUGCUGCCCGGACCCAGGCGCCCGCCGGAGGCCCCAAACUCUUGUUUUAGCCUGUGGGAAUUUCUGAGUUAACAAAACAAAUAAAUCAAAACUUUCAACAACGGAUCUCUUGGUUCUGGCAUCGAUGAAGAACGCAGCGAAAUGCGAUAAGUAAUGUGAAUUGCAGAAUUCAGUGAAUCAUCGAAUCUUUGAACGCACAUUGCGCCUGCCAGUAUUCUGGCGGGCAUGCCUGUUCAAGCGUCAUUUCAACCCCUCAAGCCCUUUCUAGGGCUUGGUGUUGGGGCCAGGCCUCCCGCUCGUCGAGCGCGGCCGGCUCUCAAAAUUAGUGGCGGUCUCGCUGUAGCCUCCCCUGCGUAGUAGUACACCUCGCACUGGAGCGCGGCGCGGCCACGCCGUAAAACGGUCGCCUUAGGGCACAUUUUAGAAGGUUGACCUCGGAUCAGGUAGGGAUACCCGCUGAACUUAAGCAUAUCAAUAAGCGGAGGAAAAGAAACCAACAGGGAUUGCCCUAGUAACGGCGAGUGAAGCGGCAACAGCUCAAAUUUGAAAUCUGGCCCUUGGGUCCGAGUUGUAAUUUGCAGAGGAUGCUUUUGGUGCGGUGCCUUCCGAGUUCCCUGGAACGGGACGCCAUAGAGGGUGAGAGCCCCGUCCGGUUGGAUACCUAGCCUCUGUAAAGCUCCUUCGACGAGUCGAGUAGUUUGGGAAUGCUGCUCUAAAUGGGAGGUAUAUGUCUUCUAAAGCUAAAUACCGGCCAGAGACCGAUAGCGCACAAGUAGAGUGAUCGAAAGAUGAAAAGCACUUUGAAAAGAGGGUUAAAUAGUACGUGAAAUUGUUGAAAGGGAAGCGUUUGUGACCAGACUUGGGCUUGGUUAAUCAUCCAGCGUUCUCGCUGGUGCACUUUGCCGGUCCAGGCCAGCAUCAGUUCGUGGCGGGGGACAAAGGCUUCGGGAACGUGGCUCCCUAGGGAGUGUUAUAGACCGUUGCGUAAUACCCUGCCGUGGACUGAGGUUCGCGCUUCUGUAAGGAUGCUGGCGUAAUGGUCAUCAACGACCCGUCUUGAAACACGGACC
rnacentral:rRNA from 1 species